UUUUUUUUUUUUUUUUUUUUUCAAAAAAAAUGAAAAAAAGAUUGAAAUAUGAAAUUUUAACAUCUCCAACACAAUCACACUCAAGUCUUCGACACUUAAAAUAAACAUAACGUCCAAACUUUAAAGUCCUCAAGCACACACCUUCUUUUCAAGCUCAAGCUAAUUUAAUUAAGAUACAAAACAUAUAAUAAGAUUCAAUUAGAGAACGACCCUAAAUCACGAUUCAUAAAGCUUUCCCAUACACCAAUUACAUAACAUAUAGCUGUAAAGAACAGAACAUAACAUCCAAUGGGUCAGUGAAUGGAUAACAUGUCAGAACGUGAGAACUUAGAUUGUCUACAGAACAACUGAUCUUUGCUGCAGCUUGGGUUAUCUAUUUAUACAAAAGCUAGCCUUUAUUUUAGUAUGAAACAAAAUUAUAAUAAGGAAGAAGAAACUAUAUAUUUUCUAUUGUAAAUUCAUAUCUUAUUAAUGCAGAUAAGGGUAUGGUUUUUGUCAACUAACUCCAAUGGAGAUAAGGGUUUACUAAGCUUUCCGAAACUCGGUCGGUAUGGUUCUGUGCAAACAUCACCAUUUUUGGUACCUUCCAUCCUUUCCAAAACCAGCAUAUACAAAAUCACUAUUCUAUAAAACACUCUCAGAAAUGACUAGUUACAAUUAAUCAUUUGAAAUACAUGUAUUUAAUAAUUUCAUUCCAAUACACACAAUUUUUGAAAUCGAGUUGUGAAUUGACAGGGACACCAUAAUCUGCAGGGCCUGCAUCAUAAUUUGUGAAUUUUUGUCUAUCGAUUUUAUCACCAUUGCUUUGAUAAUUCGGCUUCCAUUAAACAACAGUGUUGUAACAUAUCAGUGAAAAAGAAAUUUAUUGAAUUGGCUAUCAAACUGAUGGCUGAAGAAGAAGAUAGUUCAUAUUUGUAUGGGAACACAAAGUAUCGAAGUCGAACCCAGUUUUCACCACAAGGGUAUGUAUGUUCAGACUUUAGAUGCACAGCCAAUGGUUACAAACCCUUAAAUUAAAACCUCAUAUUUUUUCUAAUUGGCAACCCCUUCCUCACCCAUCAGAUUCUUCCAAUUGACAACAAUAGUAAGCAUUCUAAUUGACAAUAAUAAUGAGCAUUACUAUCAAAGGAAAUCUGUAGAACAUGAGAGACUGACUGACUAACCUUGCAAAGGCAGUCAUGGGUCGAGAGACUCGAGAUUGGAAACGACGAGAGAACUCAGAGCCAGAAGAGGUCGCGGGUCACGCCUUCACGGGUCACGAGGGUGAGAGAUUGAGAGUGAGACAGCGACACUGACUGAGAGUGAGACGGGUAGCACGGUCGCAAGUCGCAGGUCGUAGGUCGUAAGGAAGAAGACAAAGAUAGGUAGCAGGUGCGAGGAGCAGCGUAACGGCGGAGGCUGCGAAUGGGAACUGGGAACUUGGGAUUUGGGAAGGCUAUGGGAAGGGAAGGGUUUCUGACUAGAGUACAGAGGGAAGGGAAGACCCAAAGGUGGCCAAGGGUAAAGGGGUAGGGUUUCAGACUGAAAGAAUGACAUCGUUUAAUAAUAAAGAUAUUAAUUUAUAAUUAAUUAUAAAAACUUCGGUUCGGUUCGAUUUCUGAACCCUAAAAACCAAACCAAACCAAAACAAUUUCAGUUUGGUUCGGUUUUUUAGUUUCGGUUCGUUUUUUUUUCGGUUCCAUUUUUUUCGGCUUUGGUUCGGUUUAGUUUUGGGUUUUUUGAACCCACCCCUAUGAGACAUCGUCCUAGAGAAUUCUCAAGUGAUGACAUACUUGAUCAACUUGAUUCCCUUUUACCUCGUACACUU
rnacentral:lncRNA from 1 species